rnacentral:rRNA from 1 species
GAUGAACGCUAGCUACAGGCUUAACACAUGCAAGUCGCGGGGCAGCAUGGGGGUUGCUUGCAAUCCCCGAUGGCGACCGGCGCACGGGUGAGUAACGCGUAUCCAACCUGCCCUUCACCACGGGAUAACCCGGCGAAAGUCGGACUAAUACCGAAUGUUGUCCAUUGACGGCAUCCGAUUUGGACGAAAGGUUUGGCGGUGAAGGAUGGGGAUGCGUCCGAUUGGCGGGACGGCGGGGUGACGGCCCACCGCGGCGACGUUCGGUAGGGGUUCUGAGGGGAAGGUCCCCGGCACUGGAACUGGGACACGGUCCAGACUGGUACGGGGGGCAGCAGUGAGGAAUACUGGGCAAUGGGCGUAAGCCUGAACCAGCCAAGUAGCGUGCAGGAUGACGGCCCUAUGGGUUGUAAACUGCUUUUAUGCGGGGAUAGAGUGGCCAACGGGUGGGUUUUUGCAGGUACCGCAUGAAUAAGGACCGGCUAAUUCCGUG